rnacentral:lncRNA from 1 species
GCCCAUUUUUCAAUCUUGUAGAUUUAGUUUUGGUAAGACAACAUGGACAACCAUAUCUAGUUUUCACGCCAUAUCCUGAUAAGUUACCUAACGCUGGAAAAUCACUAAUUGUCCAAAGCAAUGCUGCACGCAUUUGAAACAUGUGAUUGUUUGAUGCGUCAUAAGUGGCAACACCAACCCACAAUUCUUUUAACUCAUCAACUAAGGGUUGUAGAUAGACAUCAAUAUCAUUACCUGGUGCACGAGGACCAUCAAUAAUAGUUAGUAAUAUCAUAUAUGGCUGUUUCAUGC